GCUAUGGUAUCCAGGGUGGUUGCAAAGGUGUUGCUAGGUGGUUGCUAGGUGGUUGCUAGGGUGUUGCUAGGUGGUUGCUAAGGUGUUGCUAGGUGGUUGCUAAGGUGUUGCUAUGGUAUCCAGGGUGGUUGCUAAGGUGUUGCUAGGUGGUUGCUAAGGUGUUGCUAUGGUAUCCGGGGUGGUUGCUAAGGUGUUGCUAGGUGGUUGCAAGGUGGUUGCUAAGGUGUUGCUAGGUGGUUGCUAGGGUGUUGCUAGGUGGUUGCUAAGGUUUUGCUAGGUGGUUGCUAAGGUGUUGCUAUGCUAUCCAGGGUGGUUGCUAAGGUGUUGCUAGGUGGUUGCUAAGGUGUUGCUAUGGUAUCCGGGGUGGUUGCUAAGGUGUUGCUAGGUGGUUGCUAGACGGUUGCUAGGCGGUUGCUAAGGUGUUGCUAUGGUGUCUGUGGUGGUUGCUAAGGUGUUGCUAGGUGGUUGCUAAGAUGUUGCUAUGGUAUCUGGGGUGGUUGCUAAGGUGUUGCUAGGUGUAUCUGACUGGUCGCUAGGCAGUUGCUACCAUUUCUAAAGUGGUUGCUAAGCAGUUGCUAACGUUUUCCAGGUGGUUGCUAAGGUGUUGCUAUCUGGUUGCUAGGCAGUUGCUAACGUAUUACACAUGGUUGCUAAGUGGUUGCUAGGCAGUUGCUAAUGUUUUCCAGGUGGUUGCUAAGGUGUAUCUAACUGGUUGCUAGGCAGUAGUAGAUAAAAAGAAAGAGUGUUAAAUGUAGAAGUACAGAAAAAGGGAGAGCCUGAAAUAGAGAAGUAGAGAGAAAAUCAGCGUGAGAAGUAGAGAAAGAACACCCGAGAAUAUGAGAAAAAGAGUGACAAGUAGAGAGAAAUAUUGAGCGAGAGAAAGAGAAUUAGGGAAAAAGAGAGAUCGAGAAAUAAAGAAGUAGAGAAAGAAAGAGGAUGUAGUAGAGAGAUAGAUAGAAAGAGAAAGCAAGACAGAAAAGUAGAGUGAAAGAGAAGUAGAGAGAAGAGCGAGAAAUAAAGAGUAAGAGAGAAAUAGAGAAAUAGAAAAGUAGAAAGAAAGAGACAUAGAAAAGUAGAGAGAGUGAGAAAUAGAGAAGUAGAGAGAGAGUGAGAAAGAGAGAGUGAGAAAUAGAGAAGAAGAGAGCAAAAGAGAGUGAGAAAUAGAGAAGCAGAGAGAGAGUGAGAAAUAGAGAAGUAGAGAGAGAGUGAGAAAGAGAGAGUGAGAAAUAGAGAAGUAGAGAGAGUGAGAAAUAGAGACGUAGAGAGAGAGUGAGAAAGAGAGUGAGAAAUAGAGAAGUAGAGAGAGAGUGAGAAAUAGAGACGUAGAGAGAGAGUGAAAAAGAGAGUGAGAAAUAUAGAAGUAGAGAGAGUGAGAAAUAUAGAAGUAGAGAGAGACAGUGAGAAAUAGAGACGUAGAGAGAGAGUGAGAAAGAGAGAGUGAGAUAGAGAAGUAGAGAGAGAGUGAGAAAUAGAGUGAGAAAUAGACACGUAGAGAGAGUGAGAAAGAGAGUGAGAAAUAGAGAAGUAGAGAGAGAGUGAGAAAUAGAGACGUAGAGAGAGAGUGAAAAAGAGAGUGAGAAAUAUAGAAGUAGAGAGAGUGAGAAAUAUAGAAGUAGAGAGAGAGAGUGAGAAAUAGAGACGUAGAGAGAGAGUGAGAAAGAGAGAGUGAGAUAGAGAAGUAGAGAGAGAGUGAGAAAUAGAGUGAGAAAUAGACGUAGAGAGAGAGUGAGAAAGAGAGUGAGAAAUAGAGACGUAGAGAGAGAGUGAGAAAUAGAGACGUAGAGAGAGAGUGAGAAAGAGAGUGAGAAAUAGAGGAGUAGAGAGCAAAAGAGAGUGAGAAAUAGAGAAGUAGAGAGCAAAAGAGAGAGUGAGAAGUAGAGAAGUAGAGAGCAAAAGAAAGAGUGAGAAAUAUAGAAAUAGAGAGAGAGUGGGAAAGAGAGUGAGAAUUAGAGAAGUAGAGAGCGAAAGAGAGAGUGAGAAAGAGAGAGUGGCUGGGGUGCCGGGGUGUCCAAACUUUUGACUGAUAGCUGCUCCAUACAGCAGCUCCUCCAUACACUCACAGUACUGGAGGAGCAGGGGAGAGAAGGGGUUCCGUGCGCAGAGCUGCUCGUGUGCGAGAUGGAACUCUGGGCCCCCCAUUCAUUUCUAUGGGAAAACUUCGUACGAAAAUUGUACGAAAACCGUACGUCGUAUCGCUUCGCAACCUGCUAUUAAUUUAAAGAUCUCGGUAAGAUCUAUAAGCUCGCCGAAUUUGGUCUUCGUAUCUCAAAAAUUGUGGCGGUUACGGACGUUUAAAAUUUCGCCCCAUUCAUUCCUAUGGGGAAAAAAUGCGUACGUUUACGAAGUUUUUACGAAAACCGUACGAUAAAUCGCUCCAAAAAGCACAAGCACGCUAAGUUGGCAUAGGUCCUACGAUCCGUGAAAGUUUCGUGAUUCUACGUUGAAAGCUCUAGGAGGAGUAGCGUACAGAAAAAAAGGCGUAAGAAUAAUAAUAAUAAUAAUAAUAACUAGAAAAGGAAAGUUCGAUAACGAACUUUAAGUUGGCUUGGAAAAGUACGUUAAAUAGUUAAAUAACGUUGAAUAGUUAAAAUGGUUGCUAAGAUAUUUCUGUCUAAAGCGUGUGAAGAGUGGUUGCUAUGCUGUUGACUUUCGGCUAAAUGUUGAAGUCCAAAAAGUUUUGGCUAACAUGGUGAAAAGCUUAUAAUUAUCUUAUAAAGUAAAGUGUUGCUAAGUGGUUGCUAGGUAGUUGCUAGGCAGUUGCUAAUGUAGUCCACAUCGUUGCUUAGUGCUUGCUAAUUGGUUGCUAGGCAGUUGCG